ACAGUAAUAGGUUCAAACUAAAUAAUCUUUAAAUAUAUUAGAAAUUAUCAAAGCAAUAAUAAUAAUAAUAAUAUGAUGAAUGCUUUUUUUUUCUUUGAUUUUCAAAUUAAUGCAGAACCAUAAUUUUAGUGGAUAACUAGCACAAAAUGUGUAUACUAAAUGAAAUCAACCUGUAUUAGUAAAAAUAGAAAUCGACCAUAUCUCAAGUUACAAUUAUAUUAAUGACAGAAUUGAAAUCUAUUCAUUUUUCAAUUGUAUGUGAAAAGAAAGGUUUCAACCAAGAAAGAAGUUGCAGACAAAGGACACAAAAAAGUCUUGCAGUUGGGCAAAGUUAUAUUUCAUUCUCUCAAUAGAACGUUAACUAAAACCCAUAAACAUCGUAAAAGAAAUACUCAUGAGAAACAUCUCUAGAGCCAGAAAUGGUUUUGAAAUUCCAAGUAAGGCGGUAGAGCUGGAGUUCAUGAGAAAUAUUUCUGUACUUAACCCCAGUCCUUACUAUCACACAUACAGUAAACUAUAUUUCCGAGAGUUUGUAUACCGACACAUCUCAUGGAUAGGUGCUGGAAACAGUCGAAAUUGGUGACUGUCGGUGAAGAGGCAUGCAGUUGUGCAGCACCUGUUGAGAAAUCCUACGCGGCACGACAAGUUCCAUGUGUAACAUCCAGCUCGACAUAGUGUACACACUUGAGCAUCCAGAUUACCUGAACGGACAAUGAUCACAAAACUCAACCGAACAAACAGAAUUUUGUUACAACUCACCGCUUAAACUUGUAUGCUGCCGAGACACCAAGUAUGUACUAUUUUGAUCCAUUACGCGUUAAUUGAAUAGUUUUCUUCUUUUGUAUUAAGAACUACCUUAUGAUUAAGAGUCAGAGCUUCAAGCUAUUUUUCUUCAUUUCCAUUAGGUUACAGGCCUACAUAUUUCACUGUCUCUCAGAAAAUGGAUUCGAGCUAGAAAAAUAGAUCUUUAGUUAUCUUCCAUUCUAUAUGUUCCUUGAUUUACGACCUACGCACACAAUUGCCCCUUGCGAGAGACAAACUUUUUCCUUCUACUUUUCUCUGUUUCACAUCUGUGAUUGCUGCAAUGGAAGAAGAACCUGUGCUCAUCCGUGAAGAGACCUUGGACGGAUUCAUCCGCAGUCAGCCCUCCGCUGGCCUGCCUUAUUUCAUUGCACAACCUCCCCUUAGACAAGAUUUCACUAAUAUCAGCAUCACAAAUAUAGACAAACUCACAGGAGACAAUUUUUCCGUUAAGAAAUUAUAGAUAAGCAUCCUAUUGCGUGCAAAGAAGCUACUAGGCAUUGUGAUGAAUUGUCACACAUCUAACCAAAUGUGGCGUCGUUUGCAUAUAGUUCUUGAAUAAUAUGCUACGGAAAAUGUGCAAUUGCUACAGCAACAGUUCUUUGACAUGAGAAUGAAACUAGAUGCUGAAGUAGUCGACCAUGUUGGCUGCAUAGAGCAACUCGCAAGUCAACCAAACAAUCUUGGUGAGCCAAUUUGGGACCAAGCAGUUAUUCGCACAUCUUGAGUACUUCACCCCACAAAUUUUGCCACCCACUUUUAGCCUGGGACAGCGUCCCAAGACACAAGCAGACCAUUGAAGCACUCACACUACGGUUGCUAAGAGAAGAGAGUAGAAAUUGGAUACAAGAAUGCAUGGAUGACGAGGAAGAAAAAGCUUUCUUCUCCAACUGGGAUCAAAGCUCAAGCAACAAACCCUUCUCCACCAAAGAGAGAAGGAAGCGGUCUGUGAGGAUUUUCGAACUGAAAAAGCGCACUCAGUGCAAAAAAUGCAACAAAAGUAGGCAUUUGGAGCGAGAAUGCUUUGAAGACAAAAAGCACAGACCUAUUGAGAUAAUGGCAGUCAAAAGUACGGAUGCAAAGGGCUGCAAAGCAAACGCCGUGGUAACCGAGAAUUUUGACGAAGACGACAGUUCUACCUUUAUGGUCCACGAUGCAGAGCACGUCGACGAUGCCGACGCAUGAUACAUGGACGGAGGCGCCAUUGACCAUAUGAUCAACCGUCUAGACUGGUUCGUCUCCUUCAAAACCAUACUCCAAGGACAAUGGCAUGUAAUGACUGCGGAUAAUAGGCGCCUCUAGGUGCGAGGAAUUGGCCACAUAAAUAUAAAAUGCAAAGUUGAUGAUGCCUGGAAGCCCCAAUGCAUACAACGCGUUCUCUAUGUCCCAGAGCUACGCAAAAAAAUUGUUUUCAGUGGGCCAAGU
rnacentral:lncRNA from 1 species